UUACACUACAUUUUUCAAGUCCCGAAGAAUAUUUUAAUUGUUUCGAAUUGUAAGUAUCAAAAGCCAUGAUUUACUCACAUCGCUUGUCUGGCUGCGGGUUUCCCUUGGCUUAGCAGCUGCUCAAGUGUGUUUGCUGUUCCACGGAUAGUAAAACAUAAGCAGCGACCAGAAAUCAAGAAAAUCAAUUCCAAAAGGACGGGAUGUUUGCGCCAACAAUCUGUGAUUCUGCUUAAUUUGAUUUCUGCUUGUGCGGAUAAGAUCACUAAAUCGGAAGUUUGGUUUAACACGCAGGGCGCAAUUUACUUUGCGUUUCAGCGGGGAUCAAGACUCAACUGCUGCGAAAACGACUAGAAUUUGAAGUGUUGAACCAUUCUCAUGGCUGUUUGUUGGAUACUGACUAUGUGAACAAUGCACUUCAUAAAUUUACUUUUUCAAAUACCUGUAUUUGUUCUAAUAGAUUGUUCAAUAUUCAAGAGAUAAAACAUGAUUGUGAUUGAACAAAUUAAAGAUUACUUAAGAUAUUGGAUUACAGUCUAGCACAAUUAAUUUUUCCAUUUCGUUUUGCGAAUUCUCGCGUUCAUUUUUUUAAAGACUGUUCCAAACGCACAUAAGUUUUAUGAGUCGAGAAAUUUCUGUUUCCAGAAAUGUCGUUGUUAUUAUCUAACCUUCAAGGAAAUCCUCUUGAUAGAGCAUCAAUAAAUAGUCAUUUAUUUGGAAA